rnacentral:tRNA from 2 species
AAGCCCCGGGGCCGACUGGGACCUAUUUCAAACUUGCAUUUUGACGUGUAACACCUCGGGGCC